UACGGGGGGUGCAAGCGUUGUCCGGAUUUACUGGGCGUAAAGGGCGCGUAGGCGGCUUGAUCAGUCGGACUUUUAAGAGCGGGGCUCAACCCCGUGGUGGGUUCGGGACGGUCGAGCUGGGGCGCGGUCGAGGGGGAUGGAAUGCCGGGUGUAGUGGUGAAAUGCGUAGAUAUCUGGAAGAACACCGGUGGCGCAAGCGGAUUGCUGGGCCAUAACUGACACUGAGGAACGAAAGCUAGGGGAGCAAAUGGG
rnacentral:rRNA from 1 species